GAUGAACGCUGGCGGCGUGCCUAAUACAUGCAAGUCGAACGCUGAAGGAGGAGCUUGCUCUUCUGGAUGAGUUGCGAACGGGUGAGUAACGCGUAGGUAACCUGCCUGGUAGCGGGGGAUAACUAUUGGAAACGAUAGCUAAUACCGCAUGACAACAGUUAUUGCAUGAUAACUGUUUAAAAGGGGCAACUGCUCCACUACCAGAUGGACCUGCGUUGUAUUAGCUAGUUGGUGAGGUAACGGCUCACCAAGGCGACGAUACAUAGCCGACCUGAGAGGGUGAUCGGCCACACUGGGACUGAGACACGGCCCAGACUCCUACGGGAGGCAGCAGUAGGGAAUCUUCGGCAAGGGACGGAAGUCUGACCGAGCAACGCCGCGUGAGUGAAGAAGGUUUUCGGAUCGUAAAGCUCGGUUGUAAGAGAAGAACGAGUGUGAGAGUGGAAAGUUCACACUGUGACGGUAUCUUACCAGAAAGGGACGGCUAACUACGUG
rnacentral:rRNA from 1 species